ACGAGCUAUAUAAUUUGUUUUUUAUUAGUAUUUAAAAACCCCUCCCGACAUCCUUCCGACAUAUCCGAUGUGACACCCAAAAUUUUUUUACCUCCAAUCUAAACAGGGCCUUAAUCCUUGCCCCUUCUCAGCCUGACUGAGACAUUGAUUGAUUGAUUUGCCUGUGGAUAUGCUUAACUUGGAGUGUUUUUGGUGGCAUACGUGGCCGUGAUGGCAAGCCUAUCGUUUCCUUGGAGUAGGCAUACUGUUCAUCAUCCAUCAUCAUCGAAUCUUCCAUUUAGAACUUAUUCCGAUAAGCAACAUUUUUUCUAAAAUAUCAACGACUAUAGAGAUAUUUCAUAUCUUACGACAUACUCGCUCCGUCCCUUUUUAAUCGUCGUUCUAGCAGUCCCGUCCCUAAACAAUCGUCGUUGGCUACGAACGCUGAGGCCAUAGGUCAGUCUCGUACACAGCUCAAUCACCCAUAGGUCAGUCCCGUACACAGGAGCCCUCACGGACGCUGCCACCGCUUGUUUAUCUGAGUGCUCAGUCCCGUACACAGGGGCCCAAAACUGCAGCCCAUCUUGUCAUUAUGAGUGCUCAGGCUAUUUGUCUCCUCUGUCUUAAUUCCUGUCCCAUCUCCUCAACGACAGUUAAAAGGGGACGAAGGGAGUACUACGAGUCUGUUUGGACUGAAGCCUUAAAUAUUUAAAAUUGGAUGUUUGGGAGUUUGUUUGGGACAAGCAGCUUUUUAAAGUUGCAAAUCAAACAGACUCUAUAAAAACAAACAAAACACUAUGUAUGUAUAGUUUUUUUUCUUUUUUUUCUUUUUUUUUGCAAGGAUCAUGGAACAGGAAUUGCUCUAGUUAUUUUUAAGAUUUAGUUCAAUCUCAUUUAAAAUCGUAGUCCCUCCAUCUAAUAAUGAUCAACAUGUAUCAAAAAAUGGAAUAGAAUUGGCUAGCACGUAUCAGUUCAAAUGUGUGGUUUGUCUUAAAAGAGAUGUCUCGCAAAUUGGUGCGGCAAUGCAGAGUUAAUGGGUCACAACAUAUUACAUCUCUUCUAUACUCUAACUUAUCUAUUUGAUGGCGCUUGUUAGGAUGCGGAGACACCAAUGGCUUACGGAAAUAAUAGUUUGUUUUUUGUGUCACUACAUAAAGCUAUGGCGAUGAUUAAUUUUUGAAACUAAUAAUUAAGGAUUCAAAAAUCAAAGAUCAUGAAAUCGAUAAGCUAUAGCGAUGAUUAAUUUUUGAAACUAAUAAUUAAGGAUUCAAAAAUCAAAGAUCAUGAAAUCGAUAGUUGUAGUCAAAGUUUUGGCUUUUAUCUAAAGUAAAAUUGAAGUGUUUUUGUGACUGGUGAUGGAUGAAGGGCACAAGGCACGAUCACGCACUUGAAAUAUGGAGGUGCAUAUUGGGACGUUGAGACAUGAAUGAAUGAAUUAAGGGAAUGAUGGUUCUCUCCUUUUGUCGUUGUACAAAAAGUUAUGGUGAUGAACUGAUUGAUCAAUUUUAGACAAAGGGGUAUUUUUGGAGAUUAUUAAUAAUAGUAGCUUAAAUAAUCCAGAUAGUAAAAUUGAUAGUUGUGGUCAAAGAUUUGGCUUUUGUCUAAAUUGAUAAAAACAUAAAGCAAUUUGCAUAAGGUAACUGUCAGAUGACGGGGGUCACGGAAGCAAAGAUCCUUAAGCAAUCGUCCAUGUGGUGUGACCAGCAAUUGCUUGAUAGUCUCCGGGAACAUGCACGAUAUGAUGCCUUGAAAUGCUGUAGUCAUAUAGCUAAGCCUGGGCAAAUUACCCGAUACCCAUUACCCGUACCUGAAUUACCCGGAUCCGAACCCGAGGUAUCCAAUCCUAAAUUCUGAUAGCGAUUUUGAUUACCCAAAAUUAGUUUGGGUAAUUCGGGUAAUAUCCCCCGGUACCCGAAUUACCCAAACAUAUGUCUAUGUCUUU
rnacentral:lncRNA from 1 species